AGUCGGAUUCUGCCCGGAGCAAGACACUGACGGGAGCCGGGGCCCUUGUGCUCGGGCUUGUCACCUUCGGAGUGGGCCUGUUCCUGCACAGGAGGAGCAGGAAAGUCCAACGAGGAUCUCCAUAAACAGGGUCCCUGACCUAACCUGAAAAACUGCAUGUGCCUCGGAACAAGUGUUUUUCUGUGUGUCUUAGUCCCAGAGGCUGGCUCUGGGACAGACCCCGGCUUCCCAAGAGGAUGUUGCUGCCAAGUAUUUGCUCUGAAGCCACUUUCUGUAGUUCUGCUCUUUGAUUCAAUGCACGGUGGCUCUCAUGGGCCUCCAACCAGGUUCCCUUCUCCUUAGCCCCAUAAAUAAUAAAACCCAACAUUAUUGUUUGUUUU